rnacentral:rRNA from 1 species
UACAGAGGGUGCGAGCGUUGUUCGGAAUUAUUGGGCGUAAAGGGCGCGUAGGCGGUGCGGUAAGUCACCUGUGAAAUCUCCUGGCUCAACUGGGAGCUUGCAGGCGAAACUGCCGUGCUGGAGUGUGGGAGAGGUGCGUGGAAUUCCUGGUGUAGCGGUGAAAUGCGUAGAUAUCGGGAGGAACACCAGUGGCGAAGGCGGCAUCCUGGCCCUGUCCUGACGCUCAGGGGCGAAAGCGUGGGGAGCAAACCGG